AGCUUUGCGCAGUGGCGAUAUCGUAUCCAAUGAGGUUAUACCGAGGUGCGAUUAUUGCUAAUUAAAAAAAAUCCUAUUUAAUAACCCAUCAAACAUUAAGUCGUAUGAAUAGCUAUAAUUGGAGGCGAUAUACAUAC